rnacentral:rRNA from 1 species
UACGUAGGGUGCAAGCGUUAAUCGGAAUUACUGGGCGUAAAGCGUGCGCAGGCGGUUUUGUAAGACCGAUGUGAAAUCCCCGGGCUUAACCUGGGAACUGCAUUGGUGACUGCAAGGCUUGAGUGUGUCAGAGGGAGGUGGAAUUCCGCGUGUAGCAGUGAAAUGCGUAGAUAUGCGGAGGAACACCGAUGGCGAAGGCAGCCUCCUGGGAUAACACUGACGCUCAUGCACGAAGGCGUGGGGAGCAAACAGG